rnacentral:pre_miRNA from 1 species
GAUUUCAAUUGAAAAAGUCAUCAACAACAAAGUUGAAUAACUCAUCAAGAUCUAAAACUUUUAUUUUUGCUAUUUCUUCAUCUGAUGAAAUGUUAUAUUUUUGCUAUUUCUUCAUCUGAUGAAAUGUUAGUAAUAUUAUUCAUAAAUUUUACAUAUAUGUGUUAUAGUUUAUAAAACUAGAUAAGAGAUAUGUCAAUUUUGUGAACAAUAUUACUGUCACUUUGUCGUAUGAAGAAAUGACCAAAAUAAAAGUUUUAGAUCUUGAUGAGUUAUUCAACUUUGUUGUUGAUGACUUUUUAAGUUGAUAUA